CCUCCAUUGGGUGGAGACUACAAGGCCUCAUUAAUGAGUCACCUUUGUUCCCUUUUCCAUCCUUUAUAAUCAGGGUGACAUACAUUCAGUUGGCCCGGGACAGUCUCCGCGUGUGCCUACUGACCGAAGGUGCUAAUUAACAAGGCCUCCUUCACUCUCAGAAGGGACCUGAUUGGGAGAUAAACUCAGAGAUCACUGAUUCAUAAUCCUCAAGGAGAAGGACGGAGACAAUGCCCAGGUGGCUAUGGAGGCCCUUGAAAGACCGCCUAGUGCUCACUGGCUGUGUGACCUUGGCAGGUGGUGGUCCCUGGGCCUCCAUCCCUGUCUUUCCAGUGGAGAUAAGGAUGCCUGCCUCAGAAACCGUUCUGAGGAUUAAAUACCAGGAGCCUGGAGCCUGGGGUGGGCUAAGUGGUCCUGAAGCGGAAGUGAGUUUUUGUUUGUGGCUCUUUGUUCUUUCCCCUGUGGGUCCACAGUGGUUGGCUGAAUAAAUUAGAUUCUCCCCUG